CCACUCUGUUGAUAUGACACAAAGUGCAGCCCAGUCUGGCAUUCCUUCCACCCUGAAGGAGUCUCUCACCAGGAGAACAGUAGAUUAGACUUUCUACCGACUCUGAGAGACGGGGACUGGAGCCAGCAGCAAUAUUUAGCAGAGUGACUGAUUUCUGGCACCAUCUAGCUUCUCUGCAACAGGAAUCUGGCAGCCUGCCAGGUUGAUCAUGUUGCUGUGAAUAUUUACCCGCUAUCUUACAACUUUCACUUGGCAUUUUUCAGGUACGGGCUACACAGAACUCUAUGCCAGACUAUGCUUGCAAUUUCUACUGCUUUGAUUAAUAUUGCCUGAAAAGUUAAAUUACUGAAAUAUUUGCUAAAAUAUUAAAGUAUAACAU
rnacentral:lncRNA from 1 species